AGAGUUUGAUCCUGGCUCAGGACGAACGCUGGCGGCGUGCUUAACACGUGCAAGUCGAACGGUGACCUCGAGAGCUUGCUCUCGGGUGAUCAGUGGCGAACGGGUGAGUAACACGUGAGUAACCUGCCCCAGACUCUGGAAUAACCCCGGGAAACCGGAGCUAAUACCGGAUACGAGACGGAGAGGCAUCUCUACCGUCUGGAAAGUUUUUCGGUCUGGGAUGGACUCGCGGCCCAUCAGCUAGUUGGUGAGGUAACGGCUCACCAAGGCGACGACGGGUAGCCGGCCUGAGAGGGCGACCGGCCACACUGGGACUGAGACACGGCCCAGACUCCUACGGGAGGCAGCAGUGGGGAAUAUUGCACAAUGGGCGAAAGCCUGAUGCAGCGACGCCGCGUGAGGGAUGAAGGCCUUCGGGUUGUAAACCUCUUUCAGCAGGGAAGAAGCGAAAGUGACGGUACCUGCAGAAGAAGCACCGGCUAACUACGUGCCAGCAGCCGCGGUAAUACGUAGGGUGCGAGCGUUGUCCGGAAUUAUUGGGCGUAAAGAGCUUGUAGGCGGUUUGUCGCGUCUGCCGUGAAAAUCCGGGGCUCAACCCCGGACUUGCGGUGGGUACGGGCAGACUAGAGUGUGGUAGGGGAGACUGGAAUUCCUGGUGUAGCGGUGAAAUGCGCAGAUAUCAGGAGGAACACCGAUGGCGAAGGCAGGUCUCUGGGCCACUACUGACGCUGAGAAGCGAAAGCGUGGGGAGCGAACAGGAUUAGAUACCCUGGUAGUCCACGCCGUAAACGUUGGGAACUAGGUGUGGGUCUCAUUCCACGAGAUCCGUGCCGCAGCUAACGCAUUAAGUUCCCCGCCUGGGGAGUACGGCCGCAAGGCUAAAACUCAAAGGAAUUGACGG
rnacentral:rRNA from 1 species